UACGUAGGGUGCGAGCGUUAAUCGGAAUUACUGGGCGUAAAGCGUGCGCAGGCGGUUUUGUAAGCCGGAUGUGAAAUCCCCGGGCUUAACCUGGGAAUGGCAUUCGGGACUGCAAGGCUGGAGUGCGGCAGAGGAGACUGGAAUUCCUGGUGUAGCAGUGAAUGCGUAGAUAUCGAGGAGGACACCGAUGGCGAAGGCAGGUCUCUGGGCUGACACUGACGCUCAUGCACGAAAGCGUGGGGAGCAAACAGG
rnacentral:rRNA from 1 species